GUUUUCAUCCCUCCGAUUCACUACGGCCGCCCUCCUCGCCGCCGCCGACGCGGUCUCCGUGGGCGCCGCCGACGCGGUCUCCGUGGGCGCCGCCGCCGCGAUUCUCCCCUAGGACGCCGGCGGCGCGUGCCGGUGGCCGGUCCCCAUCUUGAAGGCCACCAACCUCCCUGCUGGCAAGGACAAGAUCUACCAGUGACGCUCCCGCCCAAGGGCAUCCCCCAUCUUGGAGGCCACCAACCUCCCUGCCGGCAAGGACAAGAUCUACCAGUGACGCUCCCGCUCAAGGGCAGCCCCGGCGCGCUGCUGCAUCAGUGAGAAUGGUGACGCUUCGCCAGUUCGCCACCGGUGCUGAGGACUCCGUAGAGAAGGACUACGCUGCAAAGCCAGCUGAGCCGGUUUGAGGACGAGGACAGAGAGGAGAGAGCAGCUGGGGAUGCGAUGAUCCCUGGGCAAGUAACUGGGGGCUUUAGGCGUGGAAAAGCAUGAAAACAGUUAUCAGGAGAAUCUGGCUGAUUAUGGUGGACUGGAAGCCAAUGUAUCAGGGGGAUUUGGCGCAAGGUAUGGACCAGUGGCGCUCUUUCUUGGAGGAGGCCCUCAAGAUGCCACUGGCACUCGGCUGCUAGCAAAGAAAAAAAGGGCGUACCCAGUGCCGUAGGCUCCCGCACUGUGCGGGGUCUGGGGGAGGUUAUUAGCAGGAGGUCUUUCCCACACACUGUGCAAUGUGUAGAGGCCACCGCUCGAACCUGUGACCUCUCGGUUCACAGGCGGCAAGCACUACCACUUGCACCAGGCUGCUAGCAAAGAAGCUGAAGAAAAAUGACUGGAAUGAUGGGAAGCCCUGGGUGCCAAGCUUUUCUACCUGAAGCCCUUCCAGCCUCUUUCUUCCUUGUUUUUGGCUUCCUCUCUCUAGUUUUUCAGCUCUGUUGGUUGCUGUACCUGGUUUUAGUGUUUCUUUGGGUGCGCUGUGCUGUGUGCUACCUGGAUUGAACUUCUCUCAACACUGUAAACGUUUUUGGCUUCAUCUUAAUCAAGAUGGGGCAGGGCGCUUUUGCCUGUUCCUCUAAAAAAAAACUUGAAGUGCAAAUGAUUUUUAAUUUCCUUGCCAGUCCUUGUACCAAUAACUUAAGCAUUGCACCCAUUCUCUUCAUUGAUGCAAUGCUGACUGUUAUUGUGCAGAGAGAAGCUUCCUCCUAGUCUUGCUACAAUUACUAUUGUAACUAUUCUGACCAAGCAGGAGACUUCAUUGUGUGUAAGGUUCCACCUAGUGUUCUACAAUUAAUUUAUUCAUCAUUUUCCUGUAAUCACCUUUUAUUCGCUGAUCUCUUGUUUCAUCCUUUAAGACUGCCAUUUAUUCAUGACUAGUGUUUAGUUGUUAUUAUACACUACACCCGGUCAAGUCAAGUUGAACACCUACCAAGAGUCAAAGUGGUCAUGAUGGAUUAGCUUUCCCUUGCUGCAAUAUUUUGGUUUAGCCUCAGAUCUGUUUUUGGUUUAGCCUCAGAUCUGUUUAAGGUGCACAUUUCUACAUAAGUUUAUAACCUCAGUUUGUAUUCAAAAUUAUAAUCCUAUCUGGUAUUUUUCCCAAUGCAGAUGCAGUAGUCUCCAUUCAUAUGGUACUCUUGUUUUCAUAUAUAUUACAAAUUAUUGUGGCUGUGUGCGACAUUUCAUUUCAUUAUUGUUUACUCAUUUAGAUUCACUCUUCUGAAGUGAGUUGAUAGUCGAUACAUGAUGGCUAGUAUAUAGUUUUGUUCCUUGUACCAAUCACGUUAGCACUAGUCCAGUACUCCUAAUUGCUGCAUUGUCAACUUUUUGGAGCUUCAUUAUGUAAUAGUUUCUGUGCAUUUGGACAUUUCUGCUGACAAUGUUUCUGUUGCGAUUUCCACCUCUGCAGCCAACUACUUCAAGUUUCAUCAGCCCCUGGGCAAUGGUACCCACUCUGGCCUCGCCAUCUACUUCCUCGUGGGCUGGCGGUAUUAGUGAGCCAGCCACCCCUGCAACACAGGAACCUGCUGGCCCCUCUUCCAAAAGAGCCACCAUGGACGACAAGGUUACCAGCCCACCAAAAAACAAGACUUGCAGCGCGGAGGACUAUCUGAGGCAGGUAUCUGAAAGCAUUGUUUAUCGGAGUUGUCAUGAACGAAGCUAGACCCGUGAGCAGGAGGUUCACGAAACCAUGCAAAUGCUGAAACAAGACGGUGUUCCCGAAGGGUCGGAUCUGUACUUCAAAGCAUUGGAUCUGUUCAAGAACUCAGUUUGUCGUGUGCAGUACAAGAACAUGAGAGACCCAGCAAAUCGCGUAGAUUGGAUUGAAUGGACCUGGACGAAAGGAAAGCAAAAGUAGCAUGGGUCAUCCUUCGCCAAGCUGUUAGCUGCUGUUGUUAUGGAGUGUAGUAUAAUUUUUAUGACGUGGCUUGCGAACAAGAACAAGGUUUGUAAUAAUUACGUUUCAGUUAUGGAAUUACGUUUGAGUUA